UAUCAAUUGCAAUCAAGAACAAGUUUAAAAGAAAAUGGUAAGAAGUGUUGCGUGGCUGUAUUUCGAAAAAAAAAACCAGAUACCCGGAAAAAAACAGUGACCUGUACUGUUUGCAAACUCAACCAACCAUUUUCUGGUAACACUACCAAUAUGUUUCCUCAUCUAAGACUGAAACAUCCCGAUCUUUACCCCAAAAAAACAAAGACAACAAGAAUGCCAAACAGGCCUAUUGGUCUACUGAAAGACGAAGAUCACGAAAACGAGGAAGUCAUGAGCGAUAUCUAUCAAGAAGACAACGGAAUUCAGACUCAACAGUGAUAUAUGAAAGCCGCCAUGCCACCACUGAUUGCCAGCCUAGCACAUCCCGUCAUAGAUCUUCAGAGCAUGAAUCGUCGUCCUCGAGUUCUGUCUGUUACCGCUCAGCAUUGUCGACGACCCAAAUUUUGCAGCAUUUAUAAAGUGUAUCGACCCAAGAAUAGCUUUUCCUUGCCGAAAUACGAUCACUUAUAAUUAUCUCCCGGCUUUGUACGAAGAAGCUCGUCUUAAAUUGAUUCGCGAAUUAGAAAGAGUGGACUACGUCGCCCUGACAUGAAAUGAAGAGUCUCUACGGUUAGUGAUUGUACUGAUUAAGCAAAAAAGUAGAUCGCUGGGGAAUCCGAAAUAAAAUUGUCGGCGUAGUCACGGAUAAUGCGGCAAACAUAAAAAAGGCCGUUACUGACUGUGGCUGGAUUCGGAUUCCAUGCCUUUCCCAUACUCUAAGCUUAGCAAUGAGCUAUCGAAAAAAAUGUCGCUUUCAUGCAAAUUUUAGAACGCUGCCGCACGAUAGUAUCAUUUUCAUUCAAGUACUGGGGCUACGGCCACGUUGACUAGGUUAUGCGAAAACUUAUUCAAAAACAAAAUGCAACAGGAGUGUGCUACGAGAUGGUUGAUGUGCCACGGAAUUCAACCCGUGGCCAAUCAAUUUACUGAAUGACUUGAAACUCAAUUUGGGAGAGAGCUUUAUAACACUGGAAAGAGAAAUCAAAUUUGUUGUUUCCACCUUCCUCGACCUAUCCUCGACCUAUUACAAAAUGAAAUAUAUAAAUAUUUAGUAAUCUAAUCAUUUUUUUCGCAAAUUCAAGAAUUUGCCGAAUUACCUUACAUCUGGACUAGCCACUGCGCAACGACAAGUGCGCACAGAAUUGAAAAAUAGGGAAGAUUUAAGAAAUAGAGAAUUGGCAUCACAACUUCGUUGUCCAACCAAUGGAGCCCCAAAUUCUGCGUCGACAAAUGAAGUCUCAAUAAGUAACUAUCACAACAAACUUGUAGCUUACAAGAAUGACGCAAGAAGUGGGGCUAGAAACCAAGUUCAGACUUCGGUGUGUCACAUCGUCGUCCUUGAUGAAUAUCUAGCUUUUUCUUUGAAUGAAUGGAAAGAAGACCCGCUAAAAUGGUGGUGGGUUAGACACAGAGAGGGAACGUUACAUUCAAUGCUGCAUGUUGUAUAGGCGUAUUUAUAUAUCCCAGCAAUAUCUGUGCCGUCUGAGCAACUUUUUUCUGAUACCGGCAAUUUGCUUACAGAAGAAAGAAGUCGUUUGUCCCGUGACAACAUUGACAUGCUUCUUUUUCUUCAUAAAAAUGCCUGAUUUGUUCUUGUUUGGUCAUCGAUUAUUGGAAUUUAUAAUACCUUUUCGUUUGCCUUUGAUUUAGUUGACUUUUAUUUAAUAUGUUCCGAGCAAUUAAAUUUAAAUGAAAACUGAAGAAAACCACGGCUUCUUAUUAUUUUUAUAAAAAUCCAUUCAACAAAUUUAUAAUAUUCACCACUUGGUGGCGUUGGUUUUGAUAUUCUUCCCGAUUCAGAUAACUAUAUCAGAAUAUCGCGAUCGAUAUUUCAGAUAAUCUAAAAAAUUUCUAUUAUCGACAACACUGGACGAC